ensembl:lncRNA
GUUGAUAUAAUGGUAGGUAUAAUGGUAUUAUAAUAAUAAUAUAGGCCAAGCCUACACACACGAAGAUAUACUCCAAGUUAAUUAAUUAGUUAAUUAUUGGGUGCCCAGAAACUGGGAACCCAGUUUUUUUUUUGUUUUUUUCGUUUAUAUUAUAUUUUAUUAAUAAUGUAAUAAUAAUAAUUAUUAUUAUUAUUAUAAUUAUCUUAUUAAUUAUAUUAUCAUUAUUAUUAAUAGUAAUAAUGUAUACAUGGCUUGGUUGAAUUCUAAUGUAGAAUGCGGUCUAUUAUUUCUUGUUAACAGACGCUAAGUACCGUUGCCAUGAAAAACAAAGCGUUGCUAUGGACGCAGGAUUCUAACCUUAGAGACGGAAAGGGCUAUAUUUUUCUUUAUUAUUUUUCUUUAUUAUUUUUUCACAUUAUCCCUUACAUAAUAUAACGUAAUUAUUAGUAUUAUAACGCAAUAUAUCAUUAUAUAAAUAUAAUAAAAUAAAAAACGUUUAACACCUAACUGUUAUAUGACACAUUCUAAAUCUGGCAGUGGGUAUAUAAGCUCACACACAGCGUACUCACACCUCACUCACUCAGUGGACAUCCCAACUGGACAUCCCAACUGUCAGUUUCUCUGAGACCCUGCCCUACAGACAGACUAGCACGAUGUCAUCUCAGAAGGUGCUUGUGCCAAACAAUUUCCGAAACACACAGAAAAGGAAAUUGAUACAUGUAUAGGGGAAACCCUCAAACAUGCACCUCACCGUGCCAAGGUGGUCGCGACACCUGCAGCGGAAGAAGAACUUCGGGCACCUCCUGGGGAUGGAGACAAUGACUGACACACACGCACACACGCACACACGCACGCACGCACGCGCACACACACACACACACACACACACACACACAGUAUAUAUUUAAUUUAAAUAAUUGUUUUUGUUACUUGUUGUUCAGCAUUUACUGAACAUAAAAUUAAUAUAAAUCGUUGUUCUUGUUGUUAUUACUGUUUCCUAAUAUUUGGAAAAAUCUGUUUUUGUUCACACAAAAUAAAUAAAUAAAUGACUGAUUUUAUCUUUGAGUGUGUUAAACGUGCAUGCUUAUUCCUGAUUAAGGUUCUGAAGUGUUUUUUGCAGUAACAUUCUAGUUUGGUUCCCUACAGGUCCUUGAGACCAGUGGGGAUGUUCUUAGAACGUUCUGGGAACAUCACAUUUCCAAAUAAAACAUGGUCCCCUAAACGUUCCGAUAACGUCCUGAAUGUUCUGUGAAGGUCCGCAAAAUAACGUCCCCCGACCCUUUAAAGAACUCCACAUCAUGACCGUCUCCGAACGUUCCCGGAACGUUACUAGGCGACGUCCUUGACACUAGUGGGGACGUUCUGAGAACGUCCUGGGAACGUAACAUUUCUAGCUGGGUAAAAGUAAUAUAGAAUCAGUGGUGGACAGUAACGGAAUAGCUUUACUUCGUUACUGUACUUAAGUACAUUUUUCAAGUAUCUGUACUUUACUGGAGUAGUUUUAUUUUAAGUAACUUUUACUUUUACUUCACUACAUUCCAAAGCAUAAGAUCGUACUUUUUACUUCACUACAUUUCAUAAAACAUAUCGUUACUCCUUAUAAUAUAUCACGUGCUCUGAGACGCAGAAGCGGUGUCUGAUUCAAGAACGAACUGAUUCUUUUCAAUGAACCUUUUAAAUCGGUUGGCAAAUCGCACCAAACGAUUCAUUCACGAAUUAGAAUGAUCUGAUUGCAGCUGUUCUCGAGUCUACAACUCACUGAUUCAAAUGACCAUUUAGUGCGAGUCUCCAGUGAACUCAAUUCACAAAUAAGAACCGGGAGAUCUUGUGAGCGCGCGCGACUGAUGCUGCUAAAAGUAAGUUACUAAUGUCGAAUUUUAGGAUUAAUUAUUGUAAAUGAAUAUCAUAUUUAGGUCAAAACUGUUAUUUGUUUGUGAACUAAAUCUGCUGUAAAGGGUGAUCUAUUUAAGCCCACUGAAAUGCUUGAAUGCAAACACAUCAGCAUCUGUGCCUCUUAGGUAAAAAUACAUUAAAAUAACACAGAUUAAAUAAAAUAACUAAUGCACGUUCAAAUUCCCGCUAGCAUAACAUUAACAGUUCUAUUAAAAUGCUACGCAUUUAGCCCUAUGUGACGUCUGUUUUAUAUUGUUUAUCAACAGUAUAAAUGUUUAUAUUGUUUGGAUUAACUAGCCAAGUAGAUAUGAAUGUUUAUUCAUUACCAUACUGAAAAUAAGUAAAUAUUGGGAGCUGAUGCUAACUGUCUAACAAGCUUGCUGGUGCUAAAUUGAGGUUAUUUUUAAAAAUAAAGUCCAAAUAUUUUUAUUCAACCACCUAGAUAUAUUAUAUCUGGGGGAAAAAGA